AUUGAACGCUGGCGGCAUGCCUUACACAUGCAAGUCGAACGGUAACAGGUCUUCGGAUGCUGACGAGUGGCGAACGGGUGAGUAAUACAUCGGAACGUGCCUAGUAGUGGGGGAUAACUACUCGAAAGAGUGGCUAAUACCGCAUGAGAUCUACGGAUGAAAGCAGGGGAUCGCAAGACCUUGUGCUAUUAGAGCGGCCGAUGGCAGAUUAGGUAGUUGGUGGGAUAAAAGCUUACCAAGCCGACGAUCUGUAGCUGGUCUGAGAGGACGAUCAGCCACAGUGGGACUGAGACACGGCCCAGACUCCUACGGGAGGCAGCAGUGGGGAAUUUUGGACAAUGGGCGCAAGCCUGAUCCAGCAAUGCCGCGUGCAGGAUGAAGGCCUUCGGGUUGUAAUCUGCUUUUGUACGGAACGAAAAGCCCCGGGUUAAUACCCUGGGGUCAUGACGGUACCGUAAGAAUAAGCACCGGCUAACUACGUGCCAGCCGCCGCAGUAA
rnacentral:rRNA from 1 species